GUAGGUGGCAAGCGUUGUCCGGAAUUAUUGGGCGUAAAGCGCGCGCAGGCGGUUCUUUAAGUCUGAUGUGAAAGCCCACGGCUCAACCGUGGAGGGUCAUUGGAAACUGGAGAACUUGAGUACAGAAGAGGAAAGCGGAAUUCCACGUGUAGCGGUGAAAUGCGUAGAGAUGUGGAGGAACACCAGUGGCGAAUGCGGCUUUCUGGUCUGUAACUGACGCUGAGGCGCGAAAGCGUGGGGAGCAAACAGGAUUAGAUACCCUGGUAGUCCACGCCGUAAACGAUGAGUGCUAAGUGUUAGGGGGUUUUCCGCCCCCCUUAGUGCUGCAGCUAACGCAUUAAGCACUCCGCCUGGGAGUACGGCCGCAAGGCUG
rnacentral:rRNA from 1 species